AUGGUUUGUGGAGCACCAUUCGUCGGCGAGUCGCGGGUGAGGAGAGCCGACGGCGGGGCAGAUGCCACUGGUGGUCACAGCGAGGCAGAGAGGCCGACGGCGCUCCGCUGUUUCUGUGGAUCAGGAUUCAGUAGCAGAUGGGGACCGCUGAUAAUAGGGAGGAUAUACGCAGGGCAACCGUCAGUGGUGGAGAAGCAGCAGCGAACGACGUCGUCUCGACUCGGGAUCGGCAGCGCCCGCGCGCCGUGCCGACGCCUGCAAUGA
rnacentral:lncRNA from 1 species